UAGCGAAGGGGGCUAGCGUUGCUCGGAAUCACUAGGGCGUAAAGCGCACGUGGCGGGUCGUUAAAGUCAGGGGUGAAAUCCUGGAGCUCAACUCCCAGAACUGCCCUUGAUACUGGCGGCCUUGAGUCCGGGAGAGGUGAGUGGAACUGCGAGUGUAGAGGUGAAAUUCGUAGAUAUUCGCAAGAACACCAGUGGCGAAGGCGGCUCACUGGCCCGGUACUGACGCUGAGGUGCGAAAGCGUGGGGAGCAAACAGG
rnacentral:rRNA from 1 species